rnacentral:lncRNA from 1 species
GUCCGUGAUGGUCUACGGGGCUUCUGAGGUGAUCGGGCAGCGUCAGUCUUCAGCCGCUAAGCCGAGAAGAUCUGGGAAGGAGUCAGUCAGAGAGCCCUGGGCCAGAGUUCCAGGGGCUCUGGGAGUGGCUGCCAGGUGAGUUGAACAGUGCGAUUUUCAGUGGGGUCCCACACAGAUGGGACGCGGCUUAGGAGGAAUCCCGGGCUGCGGGCAUUCCUUGGCCUAGUGGCCAGAUUUCUGGCACUUGUAGCAAGCUCCUGGGGGAGGCGGGCCUGGAGGAACGUCUGGCCACUGCGGUUUAGGUGUUUGGAAGUUCUUGUGUGCUCGAGAUGUGGCUGGGGUUUGUCUCACAGUGGAGGCAAG